UACGAAGGGGGCGAGCGUUGUUCGGAAUUACUGGGCGUAAAGGGCGCGUAGGCGGCCGAUCAAGUCAGAUGUGAAAGUCCUGGGCUUAACCUGGGGACUGCAUUUGAUACUGAUUGGCUUGAAUUCGGGAGAGGAUAGCGGAAUUCCCAGUGUAGAGGUGAAAUUCGUAGAUAUUGGGAAGAACACCGGUGGCGAAGGCGGCUAUCUGGACCGACAUUGACGCUGAGGCGCGAAAGCGUGGGGAGCAAACAGG
rnacentral:rRNA from 1 species